CAAAAAAGUGCUCGGCUACCAAGUCACCGAUGAUCUCUGCGAAAUUUCCAGGAUUCAUAUGCUUGUGUUUCGCGAACUGGCAGCUGUUUGUAAACAGCGAGUUGGAUAAUAUAUUCUGUGGUGCUGGGUGUACUCGAUCUUUUAAACCCUGUACACUACAUGUUGGAUGUAAUUCCAUGGUACUGUGGAGGAGACCAGGAGUUGUUUUACAUUAAUUUGCUGCCAAUACAUAUUACAUGUGAAGAAUCAAUAUAGGUUGGACAGAUUUAUGGCUUCAAGUCUAUUACCUCACCUCAGAGUGAAUGUCAUGAAAAUGUUUAACUUCAUCCGCUGCUCAAGUUUUGUACUUUGCAUACACAGUUCUGUUGAAGGUGAGUUCAAGAAGUCUUGAACAAACGUGCACAAGAUGGGUUGUUGCUUGUACUCACUAUAUAAAAUUUGUCAGCAAUUAUUGCUUUACCAUAAUUCUUUUUAUGAACAAAGCAGCUUUUCAUGGCCAGACCUUUAAUUUCAAAAACAUCUACAAAAUACAUUUCCCAGUUCAAGAACUCUGAAGCGAUUUUGUCUGUUUCUUUACAACUAUGAGGAUGGCAUGUACUUUGUCCCCUGUGAUCAUGGCAGGAAUAUUCCCAUGACAAGUCUGUCUGCCCCUCCCUGCUGCAUGAAAAAAUGAACUGAGGAAAACAAAAAGAAAUCGCCCUGCAUCUGCAAAAACCAAAUGGUAAAGUCACUGCUCUCUAUGCAAUCAGAUCAUAAGAAGAUCAGAAGAAUUGAAAUGGUCAUUGAGUAAAAAUAUAUGGUUGUCGCUCAACCACAAAGUACAUGUAGAAGUAAUUUCAACACAGACAUCAUUCAUCUCCUUGGGGAGGGAUCUUGGUUGUACUCUUGACAAUAUCAAUGAGAUGUAGAUUUAUGUAGAUUAUUAUAAUUAUUAUUAGACAUCUAGUAGACUCUCUUUUGCUCAAAAAUCCAUGGAGGAGAAUGCAAAGAAAAACACAACACAAGUGGGUGGCUGUGUGCAAGCAUGAUGUCCUUGUGAAGCCGCAAGUCACAAGUUGCGUGGGUACUGAAAGACGAGCAAUUAGAGACUGCAAUGGUUUCAUACAGCAUUUCUGAAGCCCAGCACUCUGGUGAUAGCGUAAUUCUAUUGGUCGGUCCACAAAGUUAUGACGCACAUCUGUCAGUAAUCUUUAUUAUAAAUGACAAACAGCAAACUCUGUUGUAAAGUUUGCUGCCUACAGUUCAUGAAACUUUCACCUUUGCCUUCCUGUUUUGAAUUUCCAUCUCUUGACCAUUUUUUAUUAUGUUAUGUUUUACACUUGUUUUAGAAUGGCUGUGGUAUUAGGAGGACUUUAAAGUAGAGUAGAGCCAUUUGAUCGAGCAGUAUAAGUAUUUUUUAGAGGUCAUAGGUCUGGUUUCAGCCAUUAUCUGUUGCACAUUUUUAGAGUAUGACAUCUCUGUAAUUUGCCAUGUGCCCUUAGCUCUUUUCUAUUUCAACAUAUGUUUUAUUUUUCUAUUUCAAUCUCUUCAAUUAAUGUAAAUAGACUUCUUUUAAUUAUUAUUAUAUUCUUGCUUUUCAGCAAUAUUUUGGAUAAAGAUUGUGAAGCUGACAGAGAACCUUGUCUUGGUGGGGAUGAGUUACCUUUGUACGAUCUUGGUAAGCAACAUUACACAACUUGUUGAAAUAAGUAAGCUUAUUAUCACAUCAAUGUUUGUCUAGCCAGCAUAACAGGCGUUAUUUUUUUGCGUAUUUUAGGCGAACAGAGACGAAAGUGAGGUGAGCACAAAGCGCGAGUCAUGUGUGAGGGGAAGAGCGUGAGAAAAAUAAUGCCUGUACACAUACCAUUUGAAGAAACUAGUCAUAAAAGGGGAUAAGUGACGAUUUUGGUUGCUUUUCUUUUUUCU